GUCUCCUGAUGUCUUGAUUACUAUCUGUAACAAUUACUGCACAAUGGAAAAUUUUCACCGAGUUCCACUAAAUUGGAAUUAAUGAGACUAAAUAAUUAUACAUGCUAGCUUUAUAGGUUUCGACUAAUUUGAUGAUAUGGAGAUUAUUUGAUCUCUAUAACCAUUGAAGCAAAGCUGCCAACAGAAAGCUUAUCCAAUGCAAAACUUAUGCACAUUGCUUCGUUCUUCAGAUCUUUCUUUCAUCCAUCCUUUUUUUUUUUUUAAGGCCAUCGUUCCCUGAAUCACAUUAAAUGAGAAUAUUACAACACCCUCCCCUAAAUACACAGGUUGACCUAUGACAAUAUCCCAAUCCCAGAAUCUAAAAGAAUAGCUGUACAAAGAAACAAUUUUACAUGGCAAACGUAAUCAAGACAAUAGGUAACAGUGUAAAAACUUUAAUAUCCUAGGGAGGACAUUGUUAUUCAUCGCAUUGAGAAGUGCCAUCCUUUGAGACUGAAUGGCCCUGCCUAUUAUUAAGGAUAUGAAUAUAUGUACGGAGUCUAUAUCGAUCUGAGUUUGUGAGAGAAAAUGGAGGAUUGAAAAUGAGGGAUGGUGCUUCCGCAAGAAGGAAGACAAACAAGCGUACUGCUUUUGAAUAUAAGAAAGAUGCACUUUCCAUUUCACGCAUGAGCUCCGCAACCUGCCAAAUCAUGAAUAAAACAAUUUUAAAAGGACAAGGCCUGGUUUAUUUUAUUUGAAAAUUCUCUAGUCAAUUUGCAUUGUCCAGAAUCGCUCAUAGUCACUUGGUCAGCAUAAAAAUCAGUGUCCAACUUCAUACCAUAUCUCUAUGAAACUUCAGAGCAUAAUUUACUUCCCCCAAAGAAAAAGUUAUUGGUUUAUCGAAUCAAAUAUUGAUAAUAAAGGGUGACCCAGGCACAAAGCAUCCGACACUUGUCAAAAUAUCAAUAAUAAUUCUUCCAAAUUUGAUGCUUAGCAGAUGGCAGAAAAAUGAGUUCAAAAAUGAUAACUGAUCCAAUCACCUAUGUCCAUAAGCUAUGAUACACGUCAAAUGAGUAUCUAUUAGCACUUAAGACAAAAGAGACUGAUGCUAUUGCAUGUUAACUCAUGUUCCUUGUUUCUGAAGAAUUUUCCUAUUCACCACACAAUGCAAGCUCAUGCAAGGCUUGAGCAAGUCUGAACUGUAGCCUCUACUUAUGAAUUUCCACAUUGCAGUGUUUAUGAGCCUAGCUAACUAGUGACCUAUGAUCCUGAAAUUUGACUUCACAAUUCGACAAUUUCUUCACAUGCUACUCUAGUAUUGGAUUAGUGCCUUGUCAAUUAGUUAGUGACUUAGUGUACAGAUAGAAUGCAUCCUAUAAAUAUAUUAACACGGGUACUCAAUGUAAAUGAUAAAAAGGAAGUUAAUUGUUCAAAUACAACUAAAUUAAAAUUUAUAUACUCACUCCUCCAAGUUUUCCCAGAGCAAGGGCAGAUUGAAAUAUUGUCUCCAUGGCAUCAGGCAUCUCGAUAUUUCCAGGUUCAAUAGCCUUGGCGAGUUCCUCAGCAUGUUCAACUUCCCUUAAAAACUCCCUCUCAAUCUGAGUGGAGAUAUUCUCUGGCCCAACAUCAGCACCGUCUUCUGUAUCAGGAGUCCCAUGUUUCUUGUCGCUGCUUCGCCUCAACCUUGGGCUCUCUUGGCUUGGACUUCCUUCAAUAGCUGAGGCGGCCUCUGUGUGGCAAAUAUGAAGUGCUUGCUUCCAAAUUGCAAGAAUAACAAGUUGUAUCGAGAAUGCUUCCAGUUGCCUACCUACCUCCAUCUUUUCACGUACUAAUUCAGAGAUGGCAGAUGCACACUGCUGCAAUGACUUAAUCCUACUCAUACAAUGAGUUGAUGGCUGCUCCAAAACAUCUCCAAUAUCCGUGGAUCCUUGAGAAGUCCCAGGAGCAGAGCCUGGGUCCUCCAAGCUUCCAAUGUGGCUGUUAGCAGUGCCAAUUAUUGGCAUGGAGACAAUAUUUAAAUUGCCUGAUGAUUCAGGAGGACUUGGUGAUUUGUGUGGUACAUGGCUAGGUUUGGAAGUACUUCCAGAAGAAGAAGACACAUCCAAAGGGGGACCAGAAACAAGAACAUAAUCUUGAUCUAUCAACUCCAAUGAAUCCACAGCUCUUGAUUGUAAAUUCAUAGACAUUUGGUUCAUGGAUUUUGGAGCUUCAUGUAGAUAUUCAUUGGAAAAUUUAUUAAUGUCAGGCUUAAAACUAGUAAAUUCCAAGUUAUGACUAGAAUGUCUGGGAGUAAAAUCCUUGUUAUUCAAAGCAUUAGAUUUUGCUUCCUUUCCAUCAACUUGUGUAUCAAGAGAAAAUCCAUAGGUGGACUUCAUUGAAGGCUUCCUCUUAGAAAAGGAAGGGCUACCCUCAGGACCACUAGAAUCAUCGUCCAGGAGGAAAGGCAGAUAAUCCUCUUGAGAAAUGUCCUCUGUGUUCCUUGCAGAAUUGCUUUCAGACAAUGGAACACUGUCAACUGAUCUUAAAAAUGUCCUAUUCCCCAAAGAUUGAUCUAUUUUCCUCUGAGAAAGGAAUGGGUGAUUAAAAAACUCCUCAAAUGUUAACCGUUCGACUGCAUAUAAAAAAAUAAAGAAAGAUUAACGAAAAUGGGAUGACAUUUUAAAUAAGUAUUAGUAAGAAAUUUGAUUCAGAGAUAAAAAUGAACAUAACUCUCUGAUAUUAUCCCUUGCACAUCGGUCUGCAACUUGGCAUAUGCCUUACCUUUGCAUCAUAUUUCUGGAUUACGACGCAACAAUUUCUGGCACAAAUCUUUGCAGUCAGCACUCAAAUCCUUAAUAUCUGAAGGAAAUUGCAAUUCAGUUGACUUCAUAAUGUUUUGCAGCAACUCUAUUUGAUUGUUUCCAGUAAAUGGGGUUUUUCCUGUCACAAGCUGAAAUAAAAUGGCACCAACACUCCAGAGAUCUGCCUUAGCGUCAUACUUCUGAAGCUGCAUUAUCUCAGGAGCCAUGUAAAGGGGUGAACCACACAAGGUUUCUGCAAGGCCUCUAGGUUGCAGAGAUCUAGCAACAAAGCAUGAUAUUCAAAAUUUGAAAUACAAGUUAAAAAAAAUUCAGACAACCAACAUUGUGAGGAAAGGGUAAAUUAUUAAAUAAUGCCUGAGAUUUGGUCAACAUACUUUUGUCCUUGCUAUUUCAAAAAUUACUUUUGCCCCUAAAAUUUGUUAAUGGAUCUACACUUGAGUCUUGAUGCAACACAUUAGUCCCUCAAAAUCUUCUAAUCCCACAGGCAAUAGUAGUAGAAGGAUUCAAAUAACUAAUUUUGAAAUAAUAGGUACAAAAUUGUACAUAUGCCAGACCUUAGAGGAUUUGUAGUAAUUUAUCCUAUGGAAAAUCAGUAACAGCCAAAUAUCUACUAAAAAAUUUUAAAUAUUGAAAGGAAGAAGCAUGGUAAUAAAAGAAAAGUUUGGAACGAUAGAAACUACCAAUUUUUUUUAAUUAACAGUUAAAUAGAGAUUAACACCUCAACUAAAAUUCGGAGAAGGGAGAACAGCAAAUUCAGAAAAUAUAAUAGAAAACACUGCCUAAUAAGUAUGAAAUAUUUUCAAUAAGCAUAUUAAUUAAGUCAUGACAAAUAAACAGUCCAACAUGACAGCUCACUUAUUACAACCCCAACCAUCCCCACUCCCCGCCCUUUCUCACAUUCACACCUGUUAGAAUCAGCAGAAGUUAAUACUUCCUGAAUAACAGCUAUAAUCAACCUUACUCUAACAUAUUGAAGAGUUAUGACAAUUAUCAUACCCUUUGAAAUUGGAGGCCUUCAAUCAUUUAAGAUAAAGAGUACUUUUUAUACUAAUAAUUACUAAGAGCUUACAAGUAUAUUUUAACACUCUAAAAUUAUGAAGUAGAACUCAUCAUGUUACUGGGGAGGAAAAGAGCUUAAUAUAAGGUAAUUUAGUCGUGUGGGACAGUGUGCGAUGCAUAUAGAAAUACAGGAGGGCAGUGAAGUAAGUAUCACCCGAUUCCCUUAAAAAGCUGAUCACGAGCAAGAAGUAAAAAAUAAUAAACAGAAAAAAGUGUAAGGAAAAGCUUUUGAAGAUGGUUUAUUAGGAUAAGUUACCUAGCAAAUCCAAAAUCAGCAAUUUUUAGGACUGCAUUGCUGUCAUUGGUAGAAAGGAGGAGAUUCUGUAACAAAAAUUAGUACGCAAAAUAAAUGGAAUAUAUCAAAUACUGAACCUCUCUGCAUGGACAAGAUUAGUAGACACCUAACAAUAUCUUCUAGUAUUUCUAAGCUAACUUCCUACAGUAUAUGCCAAAAUACCUUUACUUCACAGAUUUUACGACUCAUUAGCUCUAUAAUCUUGUGAAGAAAUACUAUAAUGCUAUACCUUCCCCACAUUAAACUUGUAAUUGGUGCAUCACAAUUAGCCAGCACAAUCAAAUAGAAACUACAAUUUCUGCAUGGAGUAUCUUCUUGCCAACAUACAAAUAUGUAGCCAAGACUUCAAAUUCAAAUGGGAACAUAAACAAAUUAGAAUCAGGCAAUCAGCCAAACCUGCGGUUUUAGAUCCCGAUGUAUAAGAUUAUUGUCCCGAAGUAUUUUUAGACCAUCCGCUAGUUGCUGCAUGAAGUGCUUAGCAAUUGCUUCAGGGACUCGCCCAUGUCUUUGAAUAUACAUAUAUAGAUCACCCCCUUUGCAAUACUCCAACACAAUAUGCAUUCUCCCUGGCACCUGAAUAAUAUCGUGCAAGCAAAUAAUAUUCGGAUGGUUAAUCCUCUUCAAGAUAAAGAUCUCAGACAUGAGACUAUCCUGCAAUUUCUUAUUGAGCCGACUCGUAGCGAUCUCCUUUAUAGCCACCUCGGUGCCAUGAACCCGGUGCCUAGCGUGCCACACCACCGAGAAAGAACCCGACCCGAUUUGCCUACCUACCUGGUAGUCCCCAACGACUCUACUCCUUCCUGGCGCUUGAGCCAUAGUUGAGAAGAAAUCAGUAAAACCCUAGGAUCCGAACCCGAAACCAGCUGAAUUCAAGGUUGAAGACGAGCU
rnacentral:misc_RNA from 1 species